GUGCCAGCAGCCGCGGUAAUACGGAGGGGGCUAGCGUUGUUCGGAAUUACUGGGCGUAAAGCGCGCGUAGGCGGAUUGGAAAGUUGGAGGUGAAAUCCCAGGGCUCAACCUUGGAACUGCCUUCAAAACUAUCAGUCUAGAGAUCGAGAGAGGUGAGUGGAAUUCCGAGUGUAGAGGUGAAAUUCGUAGAUAUCGGGAGGAAUACCGGUGGCGAAGGCGACUUUCUGGACGAAUACUGACGCUGAGGCGCGAAAGCGUGGGGAGCAAACAGGAUUAGAUACCCUGGUAGUCCACGCCCUAA
rnacentral:rRNA from 1 species